rnacentral:lncRNA from 1 species
UUGUAAUUAGACCGUCCUUACAUACAAAGAGUCACGCAGUUACUAAUUAGACUUGAUCAUUUGCACAUUUUCUUUACCUUUUAUUGCUAGUGCAUGGUAAGAACUAUGGUGCGUGUCAUUUUCAUUUAAUGCCACGACAAUAAUGAAAGGAUUAGAGGACUUCAGUAAACCACAUCAUUUGUGCACAGUUAUACGUCCAAUUAGCGUAAGCAUAUUCCAUAUAUAUUUCAUGUGCAUGGGUUGUCUGUCAUUCACAUUUUUGAUAUUAUUUCCAUAUAUAAUUAACCUCCAAUCAUUCUACUUUAAUUUCAUGAGGUAACUAAAGCACUCUCGCAAAAUCUUGUUGUGGGACAAUGUGUCAUCUCCUCACUUUUGUUUUGUCAAAAAAGUUCUAAAAAUGUGCUUGCACUUUACUUUCAUGCGAGUUGUCAUCGACUCUUUUAGGCAACUAGCUAGCUCAAUCUGUGAAGAAUAUUUGAGUUUCACGUUCCUCUUUUGACUUGAAUUUGUUUUGAGAUUUUAAAGUUUUUGUGUUAUAUGUGUAUCUAUAAAAAUGUUUGGUUAAAUUAUAAUUAUUUUUCAUAUUAUUAUUGGUUAAAGAUUGUAUUGUGAAUUUUUACCUAACUACCUAAACUUUUAGGUCGAUCACUUUUUAACACCAUAGUGGUACCAGUUAGGCUUGAGUUGUCCAUGCAUGAUUCAUAUUAAAACUAACAUAACAUAUGUCCAAACAGUGUGUCUUUACCUUGUUUUUUUAAUCAUCCACCUAUGUCAUUUUAUCUCGUUUGGGGGUGAUUUAAAAAUAAAUAAAAUAAAAAUCCAAAUAACAUUUAUA